UCGCCGUAUUCAAGUGUGCAAUGAUGUGU
rnacentral:piRNA from 1 species